UACGUAGGGUGCGAGCGUUAAUCGGAUUUACUGGGCGUAAAGGGUGCGUAGGCGGCCGCGUGUGUCUGGCGUAAAAUACCACGGCUCAACCGUGGGAAUGCGCUGGAAACUACGUGGCUUGGGUGCGGCAGAGGCAGACGGAACUGCUGGUGUAGGGGUGAAAUCCGUAGAUAUCAGCAGGAACGCCGGUGGAGAAGUCGGUCUGCUGGGCCGUAACCGACGCUGAGGCACGAAAGCUAGGGGAGCGAACCGG
rnacentral:rRNA from 1 species